GGGGUUGUAGCUCAGUGAUAGAGUGCUUGCCUUGCAUGUGUGAGGGACUGAGUUCAAUCCUCAGCUCCA
rfam:Ictidomys tridecemlineatus contig120151, whole genome shotgun sequence.